rnacentral:tRNA from 1 species
UGAUAGUGUUGUGAGCGGUUCACAUAGAUUAUAUUUGAUAAAUCGUGAUGCUGUUAACUUCAGGAA